rnacentral:lncRNA from 1 species
UGAGAACACAUUGAGUGAAUCUUAUAUUCUUUGCUUUCAAAGAUUAGUGAAUUCUCUCCAAUGCAAGUUGUUGGAGGAUAGCUGGAUGUAGACUUGUUUAGAGUCUAACCAAUAUAAAUCUUGUUCUGUUCUUUUUCUUUAUUAUUGUUUAUUGCUUUGAUGGUUUCAGAUCUUUUGAAAACCACACCAAACACCUAGAAAUUUUUAAAGAACUUUAAAAAUUGUUUUCAAAUCAACUCACCCCCUCUUGGGUUGAGACAUAAUGUCUAUAAUUAUAACACAUCAUGCACACCCCCACAUCAUUCAUAAAGUUCUAUGCUCAUAGACAUCAUCGAGCUUUGACACUCUAAGAACCCUCUCAUCCAUCGAACUACCAACAACCAAGAGAGAUCCUCUAAAAACACCUACUCGAGAAACACUAGUUGUGAACAUAGCCUAAUCCAUCAUCACAUUCAUGACUCUCGACUAGAGUCCACCAACACAAAAAUUAAAACACCUUCAAAAAUUUCAACUUUAAAAAAUAAUUUAAA